GCUGUAGCCACAGGAAUUUUCAAGGACAAGAACCAGUGCUGGUAAAACUGUGGUCUCUGUGGUUUUCCAUACCGGCUCUCGGCAAGGAUUUUCAAGAAAGGAAUACCAUCUCCAAAUCAUGAUGUGCCAAUAAGCUCCAGUUAGCUGCGGCCUUUUCCCCAGGCGGUAGUCCUGCAAUCUGAAUCCAGGAGAUGCAGCUCUGAAUCCAAUAUUUCAGAAGAAUGAAGAUGAAGCAGACCCAGGAGGAACUGUCUGUUGAAGACCCCCCCCCCCCCCCACCAAGCUGCCCACCAGAGGCCAAGCUGUACUUGGUGUUUGCCAACAUGCUGUAAUUUCCAGCCUGGUUGCUGUAGCCACAGAGGAAUUUUCAAGGACAAGAACCAGUGCUGGUAAAACUGUGGUCUCUGUGGUUUUCCAUACCGGCUCUCGGCAAGGAUUUUCAAGAAAGGAAUACCAUCUCCAAAUCAUGAUGUGCCAAUAAGCUCCAGUUAGCUGCGGCCUUUUCCCCAGGCGGUAGUCCUGCAAUCUGAAUCCAGGAGAUGCAGCUCUGAAUCCAAUAUUUCAGAAGAAUGAAGAUGAAGCAGACCCAGGAGGAACUGUCUGUUGAAGACCCC